rnacentral:rRNA from 1 species
UCACCUGUUUUUCAAAAACAUGUCUUAUAGAAUUUAAUUUUAAGUCAAAUCUGCUCAAUGAAAAUUAAAUAGCUGCAGUAUCAAUAACUGUACAAAGGUAGCAUAAUAAUUAGUUUUUUAAUUUAAAACUAGAAUGAAAGAUUAAAUGAAAUAUAAACUCUAUCAAAUUUAACAAAUAAAUUUAUUAUUUAAAUUAAAAAAUUUAAAUUAAUAUUAAAGACAAGAAGACCCUAAAGAAUUUAUAUAAUUUUUUUUUUAAAAUUAAAAAUUAUUUUAAUUGGGGCAAUUUUAAAAUUUAUUUAAUUUUUAAUUAAUUUUUUAAAUAAUUAUUUAACAUAAAUAUUUGAAUAAUUUCUUUUUUUUAAAAAAAUAAAAUAAAAUUACCUUAGGGAUAACAGCAUAAUUUUUUUUAAAAGUCCAAAUAUAUAAAAAAGUUUAUGACCUCG